AGUCGAACGCAUCGCAAGAUGAGUGGCAGACGGGUGAGUAACACGUGGGAACAUACCCUUUGGUGCGGAACAACAGCUGGAAACGGCUGCUAAUACCGCAUGCGCCCUACGGGGGAAAGAUUUAUCGCCGAAGGAUUGGCCCGCGUCUGAUUAGCUAGUUGGUGAGGUAAUGGCUCACCAAGGCGACGAUCAGUAGCUGGUCUGAGAGGAUGAUCAGCCACACUGGGACUGAGACACGGCCCAGACUCCUACGGGAGGCAGCAGUGGGGAAUAUUGGACAAUGGGCGCAAGCCUGAUCCAGCCAUGCCGCGUGAGUGAUGAAGGCCCUAGGGUUGUAAAGCUCUUUCAGCGAGGAGGAUAAUGACGUUACUCGCAGAAGAAGCCCCGGCUAACUUCGUGCCAG
rnacentral:rRNA from 1 species